UCUAAAAUUAAAAAAUAAAUGUAACAACAUUAUAAAGAUCAAGUGGGACUCAAAUGAAGAGCUUUGAGAAGGUUUUGCCCUCUGGAGCCAAGCAGAAGGAGGUUGAGGCUGACCCCUGGUCCAUAUGCCAUCAUCAUCAAAGUCUGAACUGAACUCUUCAGAUGCUUCUGGGGACAAUCCCUAAGUGAUUCUCUGGUAAAGUGAAGUCCAGUUCAGCACCAGGAAGGAGAUU
rnacentral:lncRNA from 1 species